GGAAACAGGUGCUAAUACCGCAUAACCAUGAACACCGCAUGAUGUUCAUGUAAAAGACGGCUUUUGCUGUCACUUUUGGAUGGGCCUGCGGCGUAUUAACUUGUUGGUGGGGUAACGGCCUACCAAGGUGAUGAUACGUAGCCGAACUGAGAGGUUGAUCGGCCACAUUGGGACUGAGACACGGCCCAAACUCCUACGGGAGGCAGCAGUAGGGAAUCUUCCACAAUGGACGAAAGUCUGAUGGAGCAACGCCGCGUGAAUGAAGAAGGCCUUUGGGCCGUAAAAUUCUGUUGUCAGAGAAGAACGUGCGUGAGAGUAACUGUUCACGUAUUGACGGUAUCUGACCAGAAAGCCACGGCUAACUACGUGCCAGCAGCCGCGGUAAUACGAU
rnacentral:rRNA from 1 species